UGGGGAAUAUUGCACAAUGGGCGCAAGCCUGAUGCAGCCAUGCCGCGUGUGUGAAGAAGGCCUUCGGGUUGUAAAGCACUUUCAGCGGGGAGGAAGGCGGUGAGGUUAAUAACCUCAUCGAUUGACGUUACCCGCAGAAGAAGCACCGGCUAACUCCGUGCCAGCAGCCGCGGUAAUACGAAGGGUGCAAGCGUUAAUCGGAAUUACUGGGCGUAAAGCGCACGCAGGCGGUCUGUCAAGUCGGAUGUGAAAUCCCCGGGCUCAACCUGGGAACUGCAUCUGAUACUGGCAAGCUUGAGUCUCGUAGAGGGGGGUAGAAUUCCAGGUGUAGCGGUGAAAUGCGUAGAGAUCUGGAGGAAUACCGGUGGCGAAGGCGGCCCCCUGGACGAAGACUGACGCUCAGGUGCGAAAGCGUGGGGAGCAAACAGG
rnacentral:rRNA from 1 species